CAUGUACUUUUUCAAAUCAUAAAUUAAAGUUUCUUUCCGAAGAACAUGUAGCACACGUUUCAGCCUUUCAAAAUUCAAAUCAAAGUAAGCAUUACAUACCAGAAUGGUAUCAAGGCACAAAAUAAUAUUGAACAUUUUCAAAACGUGUCUACCUUCUCAAAAUCAGAACACAAAAGAGUAAUUUCGGAUUGAGAAUCACUUAUCAAAGGCUCACUAUGUUUUUCAAAGAAUGUAUUGCAAACCAGAAUAACAUUAAAUCUCAAAACA
rnacentral:lncRNA from 1 species